GACGAACGCUGGCGGCGUGCUUAACACAUGCAAGUCGAACGGAAAGGCCCUGCUUUUGUGGGGUGCUCGAGUGGCGAACGGGUGAGUAACACGUGAGUAACCUGCCCUUGACUUUGGGAUAACUUCAGGAAACUGGGGCUAAUACCGGAUAGGAGCUCCUGCUGCAUGGUGGGGGCUGGAAAGUUUCGGCGGUUGGGGAUGGACUCGCGGCUUAUCAGCUUGUUGGUGGGGUAGUGGCUUACCAAGGCUUUGACGGGUAGCCGGCCUGAGAGGGUGACCGGCCCCAUUGGGACUGAGAUACGGCCCAGACUCCUACGGGAGGCAGCAGUGGGGAAUAUUGCACAAUGGGCGGAAGCCUGAUGCAGCAACGCCGCGUGCGGGAUGACGGCCUUCGGGUUGUAAACCGCUUUCGCCUGUGACGAAGCGUGAGUGACGGUAAUGGGUAAAGAAGCACCGGCUAACUACGU
rnacentral:rRNA from 1 species